AAUCCAUCUCUCCCCAUUCCUUGAUCUGUCACACUAACCCCUGGCUAGUGCACAUCAUAAUGUGCAGAGAACCUGAAGAGAAGAGCAAUGUUUUCACCUGCUUCCAGAUGACGAGUGGGCAUCUCGCUCAAUGGCAUGAAAAUAAGACUCCUUUUGCUACUACCCACAUCCUCCUGAACAGGUCCGGCACAACUGAUGGAUCUCGCUUUCACUCCACUGCUGGUUACAGCCUUUCCAGAGCCUUCUUCACUUGGUGGUGUUUGAUGGCAGCUUCACUUCUGCUUUACUGUCUCCUGGCAACUUUAUUUUAAGAUUUCUUCACUUCAAAAGAUUACUGAUGAUGGAAGAGUGGCAGGAACAGGAGCAGAAGCUUCUUUCCCCACUGCCCAGUGGGGAGAAGUGGGAUUCCCCAGUUCUCUUACCAUUCUGCAGUGUUUGGAGGAUAAAUGUUGUGUAUCUCCUCUCAUUUUUAAUUUUGCCAUUGCCACCUGGUGUUACCCACCUUGUUUACCCAUUAAAAAAAUAAAGAAGAGACAAAUGAUAUUUUCCAGGAACACAGCUUUUCAAAAUCUCCUUAUGGCAUUCAAAUGGAGCUCAGAGAUGGUUUUAUGCCAUUAAAAUGUUGAAAGUGUGGACUCUGUGA